rnacentral:rRNA from 1 species
UACGGAGGAUGCGAGCGUUAUCCGGAAUCAUUGGGUUUAAAGGGUCUGUAGGCGGGCUGGUAAGUCAGAGGUGAAAGCGCUUAGCUCAACUAAGCAACUGCCUUUGAAACUGCUGGUCUUGAAUGGUUGUGAAGUAGUUGGAAUGUGUAGUGUAGCGGUGAAAUGCUUAGAUAUUACACAGAACACCGAUAGCGAAGGCAUAUUACUAACAAUUAAUUGACGCUGAUGGACGAAAGCGUGGGGAGCGAACAGG